CUACGGGGUGCUGCAGGCGCGAAACCUUUACAAUGCACGAAAGUGUGAUAAGGGAAUCCUAAGUGCUCAUGCAUUGCAUGGGCUUUUGCUAAGAGUAAAAAUCUUGGCGAAUAAGUGGUGGGUAAGACUGGUGCCAGCCGCCGCGGUAACACCAGCGCCACAAGUGGGGACCGUCAUUAUUGGGCCUAAAGCGUCCGUAGCCCGUUUGGUAAAUUUCUUGUGAAAUCAUCUCGCUCAACGUGAUGGAUUGCAGGAAACACUGCCAGACUUGGAACCGGGAGGGGCUAGAGGUAUUGCUGGGGUAGCGGUAAAAUGUUAUAAUCCCAGUAAGACCACCUGUGGCGAAGGCGUCUAGCUAGAACGGUUUCGACGGUGAGGGACGAAAGCCAGGGGAGCGAUCCGGAUUAGAUACCCGAGUAGUC
rnacentral:rRNA from 1 species